rnacentral:rRNA from 1 species
UACAGAGGUCCCAAGCGUUGUUCGGAUUCACUGGGCGUAAAGGGUGCGUAGGUGGUUGGGUAAGUUUGAUGUGAAAUCUCCGGGCUUAACCCGGAAACUGCAUUGAAUACUAUCUGGCUAGAGGGUUGGAGGGGGGACUGGAAUACUUGGUGUAGCAGUGAAAUGCGUAGAUAUCAAGUGGAACACCGGUGGCGAAGGCGAGUCCCUGGACAACUCCUGACACUGAGGCGCGAAAGCUAGGGGAGCAAACAGG